rnacentral:rRNA from 1 species
UAAUACAGAGGGUGCAAGCGUUAAUCGGAGUGACUGGGCGUAAAGGGCGUGUAGGUGGAUGGAUAAGUUAUGUGUGAAAUAUCCGGGCUUAACCUGGAGGGGUCAUGUAAUACUGUCUGUCUAGAGUAGAGCAGAGGGAAGUAGAAUUUCCGGUGUAGCGGUGAAAUGCGUAGAGAUCGGAAGGAAUACCAGUGGCGAAGGCGGCUUCCUGGGCUCAUACUGACACUGAGGCGCGAAAGCGUGGGUAGCGAACAGGAUUAGAUACCCUGGUAGUCCACGCCGUAAACGAUGAGAACUAGACGCUUGUUUGUUAACGCAAGUGAGUGUCGAAGCAAACGCAUUAAGUUCUCCGCCUGGGGAAUACGGUCGCAAGAUUA